rnacentral:tRNA from 1 species
UUUUUGUUAUUUAGGUUUUGAAAGCCUUAAAAGAGAAAAUCCUCUCACAAAAAACCAAAAUGAGGGAGUUAAUAAAAGAAUUAUUAAAGAAUCAUGAUAUUUUUUUAGAUUU